rnacentral:rRNA from 1 species
CCAUGUCUUGUAAUUGGAAUGAGUAAACUUUAAAUCACUUUACGAGUAUCAAUUGGAGGGCAAGUCUGGUGCCAGCAGCCGCGGUAAUUCCAGCUCCAAUAGCGUAUAUUAAAGUUGUUGCGGUUAAAAAGCUCGUAGUUGGAUUUCUGCUGAGGACGACCGGUCCGCCCUUCGGGUGAGUAUCUGGUUUGGCCUUGGCAUCUUCUUGGUGAACGUAUCUGCACUUGACUGUGUGGUGCGGUGCCCAGGACUUUUACUUUGAGGAAAUUAGAGUGUUUCAAGCAGGCAUACGCCUUGAAUACAUUAGCAUGGAAUAAUAAGAUAGGACCUCGGUUCUAUUUUGUUGGUUUCUAGAGCUGAGGUAACGAUUAAUAGGAAUAGUUAGGGGUACUCGUAUUUGAUUGUCAGAGGUGAAAUUCUUGGAUUAAUCAAAGACUAUCUAGAGCGAAAGCAUUUACCAGAGAUGUUUUAAUUGAUCAAGAACGAAAGUUAGGGGAUCGAAGACGAUCAGAUACCGUCCUAGUCUUAACCAUAAACAAUGCCAUCUGGAUGUUGGAUACAUUUAUAAUUUGAUAUGUUCGAAAGCUUUUGAGAAAUCAAAGUCUUUGGG